rnacentral:rRNA from 1 species
UGGGGAAUUUUGGACAAUGGGCGCAAGCCUGAUCCAGCCAUUCCGCGUGAGUGAAGAAGGCCUUCGGGUUGUAAACCACUGUUGCCCGGGACGAAACUCCUUUUUCGAGAGGAUUGACGGUACCGGGUGAGGAAGCAUCGGCUAACUCUGUGCCAGCAGCCGCGGUAAUACGGAGGAUGCAAGCGUUAUCCGGAUUUAUUAGGUAUAAAGGGUGCGUAGGCGGACCUGUUAGUCAGUGGUGAAAUACUACGGCUUAACCGUAGAACUGCCAUUGAUACUGCAGGUCUUGAGUACAGUUGAGGUAGGCGGAAUGUGUGGUGUAGCGGUGAAAUGCUUAGAUAUCACACAGAACACCGAUUGCGAAGGCAGCUUACUAAGUUGUAACUGACGCUGAUGCACGAAAGCAUGGGGAGCAAACAGG